CUGCCUCUGGUCGCUCUCGCGUGGCGGUGAGUCACAUGCCCUCUCCUUCUUCAUCUCUCAUGGCGUUAUGAGCAGAUGGUGUUCUUGCUGCCGACCACGCAGCAUUCAAUUUAAGCCCGGCCCUCCGCGCAUACACGCAUCGGCAAGCGCGCCGCAUGCACCAGCACCUUUAUUUUUUUUAGUUUUGUCUUCUUGUUUCCUGUUGCGGCGCCUAUCGCCGACGACGGGUACGCGGUGGAGCAGGUGCGAGCACUACUCCUCGCCGCUGCCAGCCCAAGUCGCGUGAUGGGCACUUAUCCAUUUCUUUCGUCGUCUCUUGCGUGCUGCUCUCCCGCAGCCCUGAGGUCAUCACCCUCAACACACAGAAUGCACCACACGAACGCAAGGCAGCCCACAUACAGAGUAGCGCCAUCACGUCUCAUCCCCACUCGUCUUUCUCUGUGCCCGCUCUGUGUGUGCGCGCUUGCGAGGCAUCCUCGCUCAGUUUCUCUUUUUUUUUCGCCUCUUUCCUCUCCCACCUUCACAAAACACUGGAUUGGUACCGUUUGCGUGAGUGUAUGAGGUCGUCUCCACGUCAUCGCACUCGGUGCGUCUCCCCAGCAGCCUCACUCCGUUCUCUCUGUGCUUGUAGUUCACCACUAUGAUCGGCAUGCAUGUCCUUCCUACACCAACCACGCGAUUUGGCGCCUCGACGUGCGCUGCAUGUCCUCUUGUCUCCUCUUCCCCUACCCCCUCUCGCACGCCAUUAUAAUGUGUGUGUGUGUGUGUGUGCGUGUGUGUGACGAUACGCGAAUGAGCAUCGUGCGUUGCCUUCUCAGCUUCCGUGCUGUCUGUUGUCGACCGUAUAUAUACAUAUAUAUUGCUCUCUUCGUCCACUCCCUAGUCGGCCAAUGUUUCGACAGCUCACACGUGCGAUGCCUGUACGCCCCUGUGCGGCAACGCUUCUUCUUAACCCUUUCGCGCUAGCCGAGGUGCAGCUGGUCAGCGCUGUCUCACUCUCACUCUCACUCUCUCCUCUGUCGCCUGCGCAGUUGCGCAAUCGUGGCACGUGUCAGCAGCAGACAUGGUUGUGGAUCUCUUGCAUGCGUGUUGAAGCGAGAUACGAGGAGAUGGGUGGAGGGGCUUCCCACCUUCCUCUGUGCUAUGUCUCCCUCUCGCGGUGUGUCUGCUCCCCGCUCUUCGCCUGAACGUAGUAGCGCCUGUUUCUCUCAGUGCCCCUGUGUGUGUGGGUGUGUGUAUGUGUGUGCUGACAGCAAGCGUUGCAGUGUAGGGAGCAGCAGACCGUUCAAGGGUGGCUGUCACAGGCGUAGACUUCGAUGGAUAGCGCACCCGACGACACGCACGCGCGCAGCGGAAACGCUAAAAAAAAGCAUACUGUUGUCGUCGCCCGCUGCCCACUGCCGUUGCUUCUCUCCCUCUCCCCCUUCUCGAUGCGCGUCUCCUCCUGCGCUUCGCCAACGACUGUGCGGUAUGUGUGUGUGUGUGUGUGUCUGUGUGUAUGGCACACACAGACAUAGGGGGAUGCGGCGCUAGAUGCGAGAAGGAGGAGGGGGUGGGUGGGCAUGGCACCACUCGGAGUGCGAGGGUUCGUGAGUGUGUGUGGGCGUGGGUGGGUGGAGACUGCCUCUAACACACACAUACAGCGUCUCUCUGUCAUCUCGAGACAGAGCGAGAGAGUGAGAGAGAGCAAGAAAGGCAAAUUCACGCAUGAAAGGGGGUAGAGGAAGUGUCGCACAGCUCUUGAUAGUGUCUGCUGUUUUACGUUCCUUCUUCUUCCUUCCCGUCUUGGGUUCUUCGUUUUUUUUCCCCCGUUCUAGGUGUAUGUGUGCGCGCGCCUGUACAUCAGAAACCGUUCGUCUGCUGCGCGGCUGCUGCUCAGUUCUCCGUUGCAUCCCGUUGGCUGACGAGCAGUGCGACACGGUUUGGAAGGCGGAGGUGGGCGCGGGAUGUAUGCAGGAUAGCGGGCACUGGUGUCCUUGUACGACUUGGUGCAACUUACCAACACGGUCACCGCGCAGUCUCUCUUGAUGUCUCGCUCGCUCUGUCCGCUAUUCGGUUCUUCUCUCCGUCCACUCCCACCCCUUGUAGCGAUGUGCUGCGUGGCGGGUUGAUUGAAUGGCCUCGCCUCAUCGUGAACAGCGUGCUACUCAACAGUAUGGCAUUGCAGAGCUCCCUCCCUCAUCCCUCUCUCUAUUUCCUCGUGUCACCCCCCCCCAGCUCGACUCUACACGCGCACAGAGGGGCAGAGAACAGACCGUCUGUUUCUGCGUCUGUGAUCCUCCGUUGUGUGUCGUGUACUCAUCCUGGAUCGGUGUUCGCUGUCGUUUCCGCUUUCGUUCUGAAUCUCUCCUCAUUUCGUGUUGGUCUUGAUGCAUGUGAAUAUGCGAGUGACGUUGCAUGUGCGUGCGACUGCAGGACGCGGCGGAUGGCGUGUGUGUAUGUUUGGUCGAGAUGAAAAAAAAACUUUCACGCAAGCGAGCGAAAAAAAAAUAAAAAGUGGCACACAGCACUGCAGCGCCAAACGCGGGCGGCGCGCCAUCUCUGAGUGUGUGCGUGCAUACGCUGGCUGCGCGACGUUUUCCUCCCCUUUGUCGUGCCCAUCAUGUCUUGCCGCAUCCACCGCAUCGUUGCUCUGCCGACGCACCUCCCGUACUCCGUUCAUUUCUCUCCUGCCAUGCCUGCGCGUCGACGUCUUUUGCGGAUGGCGAUGUCCGAGACGUUCGGUGUGUGUAUGUCUCUGUGUGUGUGUGGUGUAACUGUCCGCGUUUCCUUUGGCGGCCACACACUUUCUCGUGACGGAAGGAAGUACGAUGUGGAGCGCUGGCCCUCCCCUCCCUUCACCCAAGACCCUCCUCUUUUUUUUUUUCGCGCCCUCUGGCCAG
rnacentral:misc_RNA from 1 species